rnacentral:rRNA from 1 species
CAAUAGCGUAUAUUAAAGUUGUUGCAGUUAAAAAGUUCGUAGUUGGAUUUCUGGUGGGAGCGAUCGGUCUGGCGCUUAGCGCGAGUACUUGCAUCGUCUCCGGCCAUCCUUGGGGAGAGUCUGUCUGGCAUUAGGUUGUCGGGCAGAGGAUCCUCAUCGUUUACUGUGAAAAAAUUAGAGUGUUCAAAGCAGGCUUAUGCCGUUGAAUAUAUUAGCAUGGAAUAAUAAGAUAGGACUUUGGUACUAUUUUGUUGGUUUGCGCGCCAAAGUAAUGAUUAAUAGGGACAGUUGGGGGUAUUCGUAUUCCGUUGUCAGAGGUGAAAUUCUUGGAUUUACGGAAGACGAACUACUGCGAAAGCAUUUACCAAGGAUGUUUUCAUUAA